UUGUUGGCUCAAGGAACCCCCACAACACUCUGAAGGCCCUCUUCAAAGCUCUGAACGCAAUCGAGACUCCGAAAGAUAUUCAAGAAAAGUUCGGACGGACUGUUGUCGAGAAGUACUUGCUAUGAUACGAGGUUUUGUUUUUCCUUCCUUUCCAUACUUUCUCGGGUCGAGUCUGUUCUUUUUGUUGAUUCUAACUCGAAAACGUAUUGAUAUUGGUUUUGAAUGAGAUGUACAAAAUGGAAUUUUGGUAUUUAACUUAAGAAAUCAUGGAUGGUUGUAACUUCUGUUAAACUUUUGAUCAUCUUUUUCUUUUCCUUC